AGUGAACGCUGGCGGUAGGCCUAACACAUGCAAGUCGAACGGCAGCACAGUAAGAGCUUGCUCUUACGGGUGGCGAGUGGCGGACGGGUGAGGAAUACAUCGGAAUCUACUUUUUCGUGGGGGAUAACGUAGGGAAACUUACGCUAAUACCGCAUACGACCUACGGGUGAAAGCAGGGGAUCUUCGGACCUUGCGCGAUUGAAUGAGCCGAUGUCGGAUUAGCUAGUUGGCGGGGUAAAGGCCCACCAAGGCGACGAUCCGUAGCUGGUCUGAGAGGAUGAGAAGCCAAACGGGAACGGAAACACGGUCCAGAACAAUAGGGGGGGCAGGAGGGGGGAAAAUGGGAAAAGGGGGGAAAGCCUGACCCAGCCAUACGGGGGGGGGAAAGAAGGCUUUGGGGUUGUAAAGCCCUUUUGUGGGGAAAAAAAAACAGGAGGUUAAAACCCCGUGUUUCUGACGGUACCAAAAGAAUAAGCACCGGAUAACUUCGU
rnacentral:rRNA from 1 species